rnacentral:tRNA from 1 species
GCGCUCGUAGCUCAAUUGGAUAGACCAUCUGACUACGGAUCAGAAGGUUGGGGGUUCGAGUCCCUCCGAGCGCG